AUCAUUUCAGUGCAAGCAGUCCCUCGAUCACGGAGGGAGUUUUCCCAGGGUGAGGCCCAGCCACUGCAAUCCAGAUCUUCUGACCUGAAGACUGUCCUCAAAUGUGGGACACUCUAUUGUGUAGUUUGUGGUAGUGGGGGAACUGUGUUACAACUUUCCCCUA
ensembl:snRNA U1 U1 spliceosomal RNA